GUGGGGAAUAUUGGACAAUGGGGGGAACCCUGAUCCAGCCAUGCCGCGUGUGUGAAGAAGGCCUUUUGGUUGUAAAGCACUUUAAGCGAGGAGGAGGCUACCGAGAUUAAUACUCUUGGAUAGUGGACGUUACUCGCAGAAUAAGCACCGGCUAACUCUGUGCCAGCAGCCGCGGUAAUACAGAGGGUGCAAGCGUUAAUCGGAUUUACUGGGCGUAAAGCGCGCGUAGGUGGCCAAUUAAGUCAAAUGUGAAAUCCCCGAGCUUAACUUGGGAAUUGCAUUCGAUACUGGUUGGCUAGAGUAUGGGAGAGGAUGGUAGAAUUCCAGGUGUAGCGGUGAAAUGCGUGGAGAUCUGGAGGAAUACCGAUGGCGAAGGCAGCCAUCUGGCCUAAUACUGACACUGAGGUGCGAAAGCAUGGGGAGCAAACAGGAUUAGAAACCCCGGUAGUCC
rnacentral:rRNA from 1 species